CGGACGGGUGAGUAACGCGUGGAAAACCUGCCGUAUACUGGGGGAUAACACUUAGAAAUAGGUGCUAAUACCGCAUAAGCGCACAGCUUCGCAUGAAGCGGUGUGAAAAACUCUGGUGGUAUACGAUGGUUCCGCGUCUGAUUAGCUAGUUGGUGGGGUAAUGGCCUACCAAGGCAACGAUCAGCAGCCGGCCUGAGAGGGUGAACGGCCACAUUGGGACUGAGACACGGCCCAAACUCCUACGGAAGGCAGCAG
rnacentral:rRNA from 1 species